rnacentral:rRNA from 1 species
GCAAGUCGUGCGAGAAAGUAUCUUCGGAUAUGAGUAGAGCGGCGGACGGGUGAGUAACGCGUAGGAAUCUACCUAGUAGAAGGGGAUAGCCCGGGGAAACCCGGAUUAAUACCGUAUACCUCCUUCGGGAGAAAGAAGGCCUCUCUUUGAAGCUUUCGCUAUUAGAUGAGCCUGCGUAAGAUUAGCUUGUUGGUGAGGUAAAGGCUCACCAAGGCGACGAUCUUUAGCUGGUCUGAGAGGACGAUCAGCCACAUUGGGACUGAGACACGGCCCAGACUCCUACGGGAGGCAGCAGUGGGGAAUAUUGGACAAUGGGCGAAAGCCUGAUCCAGCCAUACCGCGUGUGUGAAGAAGGCCUUCGGGUUGUAAAGCACUUUAAGCGGGGAGAAAAAGUUAUAAGUUAAUACCUUAUAACCGUGAUGUUACCUGCAGAAUAAGCACCGGCUAAUUCCGUGCCAGCAGCCGCGGUAAUACGGAAGGUGCAAGCGUUAAUCGGAAUUACUGGGCGUAAAGCGCGCGUAGGUGGUUUGUUAAGUUGGAUGUGAAAGCCCUGGGCUCAACCUAGGAACUGCAUCCAAAACUAACUCACUAGAGUACGAUAGAGGGAGGUAGAAUUCAUAGUGUAGCGGUGGAAUGCGUAGAUAUUAUGAAGAAUACCAGUGGCGAAGGCGGCCUCCUGGAUCUGUACUGACACUGAGGUGCGAAAGCGUGGGUAGCGAACAGGAUUAGAUACCCUGGUAGUCCACGCCGUAAACGAUGACCACUAGCUGUUGGAAGACAAUGUUUUUCGGUGGCGCAGCUAACGUUUUAAGUUGUCCGCCUGGGGG